CCUACGGGUGGCAGCAGUGGGGAAUAUUGCACAAUGGGCGCAAGCCUGAUGCAGCCAUGCCGCGUGGAUGAAGAAGGCCUUCGGGUUGUAAAGUACUUUCAGCGGGGAGGAAGGGAGUAAAGUUAAUACCUUUGCUCAUUGACGGUACCCGCAGAAGAAGCACCGGCUAACUCCGAGCCAGCAGCCGCGGUAAUACGGAGGGUGCAAGCGUUAAGCGGAAUUACUGGGCGUAAAGCACACGCAGGCGGUUUGUUAAGUCAGAGGUGAAAUCCCCGGGCUCAACCUGGGAACUGCAUCGGAUACUGGCACGCUUGAGUCUCGUAGAGGGGGGUCGAAUUCCCGGUGUCGCGG
rnacentral:rRNA from 1 species